rnacentral:rRNA from 2 species
UUCUGUAAGCCGUUGAAGGUGUCCUGUGAGGGGUGCUGGAGGUAUCAGAAGUGCGAAUGCUGACAUAAGUAACGAUAAAGCGGGUGAAAAGCCCGCUCGCCGGAAGACCAAGGGUUCCUGUCCAACGUUAAUCGGGGCAGGGUGAGUCGACCCCUAAGGCGAGGCCGAAAGGCGUAGUCGAUGGGAAACGGGUUAAUAUUCCCGUACUUGGUGUUACUGCGAAGGGGGGACGGAGAAGGCUAUGUUGGCCGGGCGACGGUUGUCCCGGUUUAAGCGUGUAGGUGUGUGUUCCAGGUAAAUCCGGUUCACUUUAACACUGAGGCGUGAUGACGAGGCACCACGGUGCUGAAGCAACAAAUGCCCUGCUUCCAGGAAAAGCCUCUAAGCAUCAGGUAACAUCAAAUCGUACCCCAAACCGACACAGGUGGUCAGGUAGAGAAUACCAAGGCGCUUGAGAGAACUCGGGUGAAGGAACUAGGCAAAAUGGUGCCGUAACUUCGGGAGAAGGCACGCUGACACGUAGGUGAAGUGAUUUACUCAUGGAGCUGAAGUCAGUCGAAGAUACCAGCUGGCUGCAACUGUUUAUUAAAAACACAGCACUGUGCAAACACGAAAGUGGACGUAUACGGUGUGACGCCUGCCCGGUGCCGGAAGGUUAAUUGAUGGGGUCAGCGCAAGCGAAGCUCCUGAUCGAAGCCCCGGUAAACGGCGGCCGUAACUAUAACGGUCCUAAGGUAGCGAAAUUCCUUGUCGGGUAAGUUCCGACCUGCACGAAUGGCGUAAUGAUGGCCAGGCUGUCUCCACCCGAGACUCAGUGAAAUUGAACUCGCUGUGAAGAUGCAGUGUACCCGCGGCAAGACGGAAAGACCCCGUGAACCUUUACUAUAGCUUGACACUGAACAUUGAGCCUUGAUGUGUAGGAUAGGUGGGAGGCUUUGAAGCGUGGACGCCAGUCUGCGUGGAGCCGACCUUGAAAUACCACCCUUUAAUGUUUGAUGUUCUAACGUGGACCCGUAAUCCGGGUUGCGGACAGUGUCUGGUGGGUAGUUUGACUGGGGCGGUCUCCUCCUAAAGAGUAACGGAGGAGCACGAAGGUUGGCUAAUCCUGGUCGGACAUCAGGAGGUUAGUGCAAUGGCAUAAGCCAGCUUGACUGCGAGCGUGACGGCGCGAGCAGGUGCGAAAGCAGGUCAUAGUGAUCCGGUGGUUCUGAAUGGAAGGGCCAUCGCUCAACGGAUAAAAGGUACUCCGGGGAUAACAGGCUGAUACCGCCCAAGAGUUCAUAUCGACGGCGGUGUUUGGCACCUCGAUGUCGGCUCAUCACAUCCUGGGGCUGAAGUAGGUCCCAAGGGUAUGGCUGUUCGCCAUUUAAAGUGGUACGCGAGCUGGGUUUAGAACGUCGUG